CAGGUGAAAAGAGGAACAUCCUCCAGUCAUGAAUAGUAAAUUAAAUGGCAGUGUGUGAAACAGUGGCACAGUUCUGUCUUCAUUGAAAACUUACACAAGUGUUGUAACAAAUGUACCACAAUUUUGUUGUUCCAUGUUUCAAGUACUAGCGACAACUACUAUGCAGACGUAAAACAGCAAUGACUAGCAUCAGCUAUUUUAGAAUUUAUUUAAAAUAAAAUGUUUGACAAAUUA